rnacentral:rRNA from 1 species
GCCCUGGCAGUCAGAGGCGAUGAAGGGCGUGCUAAUCUGCGAUAAGCGCCGGUAAGGUGAUAUGAACCGUUAUAACCGGCGAUACCCGAAUGGGGAAACCCAGUGUGACUCGUCACACUAUCAUUAACUGAAUCCAUAGGUUAAUGAGGCGAACCGGGGGAACUGAAACAUCUAAGUACCCCGAGGAAAAGAAAUCAACCGAGAUUCCCCCAGUAGCGGCGAGCGAACGGGGAGGAGCCCAGAGCCUGAAUCAGCAUGUGUGUUAGUGGAAGCGUCUGGAAAGGCGCGCGAUACAGGGUGACAGCCCCGUACACAAAAGCGCAUGUGCUGUGAGCUCGAUGAGUAGGGCGGGACACGUGGUAUCCUGUCUGAAUAUGGGGGGACCAUCCUCCAAGGCUAAAUACUCCUGACUGACCGAUAGUGAACCAGUACCGUGAGGGAAAGGCGAAAAGAACCCCGGCGAGGGGAGUGAAAAAGAACCUGAAACCGUGUACGUACAAGCAGUGGGAGCACCCUUUGGGUGUGACUGCGUACCUUUUGUAUAAUGGGUCAGCGACUUAUAUUCUGUAGCAAGGUUAACCGAAUAGGGGAGCCGGAGGGAAACC